CACGGAGCUAUGCCCAGACAACGUUAGGAAUGCCAUCAACAAGGGAGGUUUUCUCGGCCAGUUUGGCCAAUAUUGCUAUGAACUGAUAAACAACGUCACCCAGUGGCAUAACGCACAGCGACACUGUAACGUCUGAACACUCAAUGAGCAAACAUGCCACCAAGAACACGCCGGGUAUGCGAAUCCUUCGUUUACGGAUGGCACUUCACUAACAGAGAACAACAAAAGCCACGCGCGAGAGGAUGAGUGAAUCGGAGCUUAUGAAUGCCGCCGACGGUUCGUUGUUGGACAUAACUUUAGAAGAAGAACUGUGUACAAGCGAACGGUUCUCGUGUGGAAUUUGUGAGGCCAGUUAUGCUAGGAAAGCCUACUUGAAGCGUCAUAUAUAGCACCCUAAACUUCGUUUGUGGGGGUAUACUAAGUACUGACUCCAUAAUAUGACAUGUAAACAUUUUAUGUACGCAUUCCUUUUUUCAAGAAUCAGUUGUUUUUACGAUUUAAUUUUACCCGUGUUUCUUUAAACUCAACCAAUACAGUGAUUUAGGGUCAGGUGAAUCGCACU